rnacentral:rRNA from 1 species
UACGUAGGUGGCAAGCGUUGUCCGGAAUUAUUGGGCGUAAAGCGCGCGCAGGCGGUCCUUUAAGUCUGAUGUGAAAGCCCACGGCUCAACCGUGGAGGGUCAUUGGAAACUGGGGGACUUGAGUACAGAAGAGAAGAGUGGAAUUCCACGUGUAGCGGUGAAAUGCGUAGAGAUGUGGAGGAACACCAGUGGCGAAGGCGGCUCUCUGGUCUGUAACUGACGCUGAGGCGCGAAAGCGUGGGGAGCGAACAGG